AGGAGUAUAGUUAAAAUUAUAAUAUUUAUUUUGCUAAUAAAAGUUAUUAAAAUUAAUUAUUCUUA
rnacentral:tRNA from 1 species